GUUGCUUUGGCCGAGUGGUUAAGGCGUGCGCCUGCUAAGUGCAUGGGGUCAGGCAACG
rnacentral:tRNA from 1 species